GAGACUCUCCCGGCAAUACCCGCUUGGGCUGGCCUCGGUGAAUGUGUGCGGAAGGACGGAACGAGAACUCCCUCAGCGCUUUGCUUUGCCACGGACCGUUCUGUUUCCAGAUGUUUGCCACGGGAAACAGAUUGUGUCUCCGCAGUGCCGCCUGACUUGGAAGGUCAACUCCACAGACAUCAAAAGCUCACUUGUCAGAAUGUCGCAGACUUUUCCAGUCCAUGUCCCCACCGUGGCCCCGAAGCUGUUGCCUUCAGCUCCUACACCACAGAAGAAGAAGAGGCUUCGUUUGAAAGGUUUUUAUCACCAGUAGGUUGACAGGCAACUACGGUCACGAGCAUCAUUUCGAGGGGACUGGUGGUCUUGCCUUUUCGUGAUUAGGCCUACAAAUUCAAUGUCAGCAAGCUGUCCACAGAUGCCUUCCCGGGAUCUUCAUGAAGGAUGACCUGUUCCUCCUAGAAUCUACCUUCGUGAGGCUCAGAGGCGCCGACAGAGCAGAACCAGGGCUUCGGAUGAGCCCCCUUCCACUGCCAGAGCACACCUUGGCAGGGCACUCUUUUCAUGAACACAGGGCUGUGCAGCUAAUGUGUUUAUGUUUUCAAGCUGUACAAGUGAAGAAAUGGGGUAACAGAAUCAUGUGCAAUAAAAUAAUAAAUUCCCCCCUCAGAAGCUGACAGUAUGUCAGAGAGCAGAGCUCGCUCUAUGCGAUCAGGCCCUGGAAAGGUUUCAUCCUAGUGGAAGGAUGUCUCCAAACAGCUACGAGGGGUAGCAUGUAUGCAUGUGGGUAGCAAGGGGUCCACAAAGGUGGGUUGCUAUGAAUAUGCUUUUGAAUGGAUCCUAGUCACUUUUCUAUUGCUCUGAAGAGACACCGCAAUUAAAGCAACUUAAAAAGGAAAA